AUCUCUACUCUGGCUGUAUGUGUGUGUGUAUAAACUCCAAUGGAGAAAGAUGAGAGCUUGUUCUAAGUGAUUUAAGAACAAAGAUUGAUGAGAGUGUUUAAGUGUUUAAGAGACUAAAGAGAAUGAGAUUAAGAGACUGAGAGACUAAGAGAAUAAGUGUUUAGAGAUUAGAGUUUCAGAUUCAAGAACUAGUUUUUCAUUUCCAUGAAGGAGAGGGGAAAUCCCCCAUACUCACUUGGAGCUUACAAAUCGUCUCUGCCUCUUAUUUAAAUAGGACAGACUGUUUUCUACUAGGGUUUACAUUCAGAUACAUCACACAUGUGAAGUCAAACAAGGAG
rnacentral:lncRNA from 1 species